rnacentral:RNase_P_RNA from 1 species
GGAGUGGGCCAGGCGACCGCUGUCGGGGCGACCCGGCAGAGGAAAGUCCGAACUGGACAGGGCACGGUGAUGGCUAACAGCCACCGGGUGCGAGCCCAGGGAAAGUGCCACAGAAAAGAUACCGCCGGCGGGGCGGUGGCUUCGCCACCGCCGUGACAGGGUCGAAUGUAACAAGGUGACAAUGUGUGCGUCCCUCGGCUUGUUGGAUGGUCCUCGGAUUGCGGACGGGCUCACUCUGUUACUCUGUCACGUUGUUACCUUAUCACCUCCCCGCCGGUAAGGGUGAAAUGGUGCGGUAAGAGCGCACCGCGCGGCCGGUGACGGCCGUGGCAGGGUAAACCCCACCGCCAGCAAGCCCAAAUAGGGGGCGAUGAGCCGGCCCGGCUCGUUACCAGCCCCGGGUAGGGCGCUUGAGCCCGUCGGUAACGGCGGGCCUAGAGGAAUGGUCGCCAUCCGCCUCAAGCGGAAACAGAAUUCGGCUUACUGGCCCACUCCGCCG